CGAUGGUAAACAAACCACUUAAACAGAGAUGGCACAGAGCUACAGACUACAAUACAUUGUUGCCCUGCAUUUUUUGGAUAUUUCUACAUAUUUCUGGAAGCCAUGGCUGCGUGGAAAAAAUAGAGGAGCAUGUCAUAAACUUACAGGCUACUGAGUCGUUGGCAGCAGUCACCAGGGAGUUCCAACCACCAACGGAGUGGUUGGAUAAAGGCAGUUGGCCGUUGGUUUGAUUCGGGGUGUGUGCGCGCCCAUCUACUUACAUACACAACAUAUUGGCGACGAAGAAUUACUUUUCUUGGGAUUCCACAACCUCCUGCUUUCCUCGACACUCCUGGGGUUAAGGGAGAAUCCUCCUCACGUGUAAUGGCCAAGUGGACCGAAGAAAUGGAGGAGCAGCUGAUUGCACUGGUGGAAGAGAGACCACCGUUGUACAACAUCACGCUACAGGGCUAUUCCAAACGGAAUAGGAAGGAUCAACUGUGGCGUGAGAUCGAAAGCGAGCUCCAUCUAUCAGGCAAAGAAGUUCGUAGGAAAUGGGAUAACCUCCGUACGACCUACAAUCGCUUUAAAAAAACGGGCCCGAGGACGACGAGACAACAGUGGACCCUCGAUCGGAUGCAGUUCAUUGAGCCACACACCAAGAGGAAGGAGAACACCUCCAACCUCAAUCGCAGGGAAUUGUGUGAGGCUGGGGCGCCUGAGGGGGCGAGCAUGGUGACCGAUUCCUCUCUGGAGGGCAAUGGCAGCACACUACCAGAGGAGACCGAGUUGGACAUCCCGCUGGCUGGCUCCCCGAUUGCAGAGUCGGCCAUCUGUGCUUUUCUUGGAAAUUCACAACCUGCUGCUUUACUGGACACUCGUGAUAAGGGAGAGUCCUCCUCACGUAUAAUGUUCAAGUGGACCGAAGAAAUGGAGGAGCAACUGAUUGCUCUGGUGGAAGACAGACCACCGUUGUACAACAUCACGCUACAGGGCUAUUCCAACCGGAAUAGGAAGGAUCAACUUUGGCGUGAGAUCGAGAGCAAGCUCCAUCUAUCAGGGAAAGAAGUGCGGAGGAAAUGGGACAACCUCCGUACGACCUACAAUCGCUUUAAAAAAACGGCUCCUUUGGGAAGCUCAGGGGCCCCGAGGACAACGAGACAACAUUGGACCCUCAAUCGGAUGCAGUUCAUUGAGCCACACACCAAGAGGAAGGAGAGCACGUCCAACCUUCCUCGCAAGGAAUUGUGUGAUGCGGGGGCGCCUGAGGGGGCGAGCAUGGUGACCGAUUCCUCUUCGGAGGGCAAUGGCAGCACACUACCAGAGGAGCCGGAGGUGGACAUCCCGCUGGCUGGCUCCCCGACCAUCUGUGAGGGUACACUCCCUGGGGUUUUGGAGUGCAGUUUGACCUCCGGAGGUACUGACCAACGCCAGCGUCAGCCCGCAAAGCGGAAAAAGAAGCGUGGGGAUCGGGCCGUGAAUGAGGAGGUGGUGCUCAUGCAGACCAUCGGCAAAACCCUGGAAAGGAUGGCAACAGGAGCACCACGGCAAGAGGAGCACAACGACUACAUUUCGGUGUGCUGCAAGCGGAUUGAACACCGGCUGCGAAUGCUCCCGCAGCAUCAGCUCGCACAGUUUGAGUAUGAGAUGGACUGCCUGCUCUACAGGUUUUCCCAGAACCAGAUCCAGGAAACUGACUGAAAGGACCUUACUCCUCUGGCAACGGACUGAAAGGACAUAAGUCCUCUAUGAUAUUUAUAUUUGUGCCUUUUCCCUUUUUACUGCUCUGGAAUACGGUACACCACUUUAGAUAAAAAAAUUUAAUAAAUUAUAAGCUGUUUUCUUCCUGUCUCCUUUUUUCUAUAUUUGAACAUAGGCUAUAUGCAGGGGUGUUGUGGUAAAAUAAGAUGUGGGUAAUAUAUGAGGAUGGCAGAUAUUGAAUCCCGAUAGUUGGUAUUUUUACGCUGAAUAAUUGUGAUUUAUUCCUCCAACAUCUGGAACUUCAUCGCCAGUUCCCGACACAGAAACUGAUAAGCUCCUUUUGCCUGCCGCUGUGGGAUCCACGACUUCACCCACGACUAAGUAUUGUAUUCCACAAACUUCUUUGGUCAAACGAAUAAUGAGAUAAUUACGUGCACUUUGUUUUCUAAUCAGAUCAUCUGCAUUACCUUUGCCAUUUCCUGUUUUCAUGUUGUGGGUAAGUUUGUUGCAGAACAGGAGCCACACACAACGUGCAAGAUGUUGCUGUGCAUAAUCUUACAGUCCUUAGCAUUGCUCCCCCUUCAAAUGUGUCACAGACCCGACGUCUUACCUGUACUGUGUCUCUUCACAUAAAAGAUGGUCAGACGUUUACCAGAGAUCUGCUUGUAGAUACUGGUUCAGCAGUCUCCAUACUUCCAGAGCACAUUUGCCAGAGCACAUUAUGUGCCUCUUACAAAGCUUACAGUUAGAUUAGCGAUGUACAUGAAGAAACCUAUUACUGUCCUAGGGUAUACAAACCACACCUCCUGACUGCCGCUUUGCAAUUACUCUUGUUGACUACUAUCGAUGGCCUGAGAUUGCCUUCUGCUCAGCUGUAACCAGGGGCAAUUCUAGGUUCUGACUUGGAUGGAAAUGGGUGUGAACUAUAAUAAUCAAUUUGAGGUAUAUUCAAUUUUCUUUGGGUAAUUUUCAUUAAAAAAUGACCAUAUUUCUCACUUUU
ensembl:lncRNA